rnacentral:lncRNA from 1 species
UCCAACUGCUUUCCAAAGUGGCAGGCCCCAUUUUACUUUCCUACCGGCAAUGUGGGAGAGUUUCUGUUUCUCCAUAUGGAGAGGGCACAGCUGUCCUUCCCUCAGCCUGUCUCAAUCCAGGACCUUCACAUUCCCUAUGCUCAGCAUGACUCCAGCAUUUUGUUUUUGUUUUUGUUUUUAAGACAGAGUCUAAAUCCAACUAUGCAUGUUUGAAUGUGAGAGAGACAGAGAAAGAGACAGAAAUGAGACAGACAGAAAGAAUAAUGCUUUAAAUAAUGCAGGGGUUUCUGCCCUCCACUCUGUAAGAACAUAGAACCCAUGGGCUGAAUAGAAGGAGGAGAGGGCACAGCUGUCCUUCCCUCAGCCUGUCUCAAUCCAGGACCUUCACAUUCCCUAUGCUCAGCAUGACUCCAGCAUUUUGUUUUUGUUUUUGUUUUUAAGACAGAGUCUCACUCUGUCACCCAGGCUGGAUUGCAUUGGCACGAUUUCAGCUCAGUGAAGCAUCCACCUCCCGGGUUCAAGCGUUUCUCCUGCUUCAGCCUCCUGAGUAGCUAGGACUACAGGGACGUACCACCACACCUGGCUAAUUUUUUUUGUAUUUUUAGUAGAGAUGGGGGUUUUAGCUUCGUGGUCAGCCUGGUCUCAAAUUCCUGGCCUCAAGUGAUCCACCC